AGGUACUGAUUAUCGAAGUGAAUACAGUUCCAGGACUGACUCCUUCCACCGUCUUGAUUCAUCAGGCACUUUCAGAGCAACCUCCCCUGUAUCCACAACAGUUCUUCCGCACGUUGCUUGAUCUGGCAUCAGAGAGAUCUAUGUGAAUAUAAUUAUAUCACAAGAUUUCAGGUUGUUCAUUUCUCUCUUAUUAUCUGUUGUCCAUCCAUCA